ACUUAACAUCUUCUGUCCUCAUCUUUGGACGCACAAUUUUCCACCCAUAACUGUGAGGUUGGCCGCAGGGCUGAAAUCUCUUUACUGCUGAAGUUACCUCUGUAGGUUUCAUGCUGUACCUUCAUUUCAUGUCCAUCUGAAGGAGACAAGACACACAGAGCCAGACGAAUCGAACAGGAGCAUGUCCUUCUCAGUGUCUCUUUUGUUUUCUGUGAGGAUUGUGUCCAAACAGCUGCCAAACACUGAGAAAUGUUUCACCUGUUUUCAGGCACAUAACUCAAAUAAAUAAA